UCCUACAUAAGAAGACCUUCUCUUCCAGAUCUGGCUGUGCCAGUGGAAGAACUCCCUGCCCCCUCACUCCUCACUCUUGUUUCGACUUGUCUGCCAGUGGAGCAGGUAAUCCAGAUGCUCCUUCAACGGAUUAAAGCAAGUAUGCCAAGAUUACUUCAGGAUGUUUCAUAUGACUGGAAAAAUUACUUUUAUGGUCAAUCAUUGGUCCAUCUUCACAAAUCAGCAUAAAUAGCUUACCUUCUCUGGCCAUGCGAAAAUUUUCAACAAGAACUUGCCCAAGAAGGCUUCAUUUGGAAACUCAUCUCAGACCAGAGCAGGCAGGAGCUGCCUGUUAAGCAAAGAGAUCAGAGAACCUUUUUUCCCUGCAUUUCUUCAUGGAAGUUUGAAGUGGCUUAAUUAUUUAACGUACUGACAAAGCCUUUUUUGCUGCUAUUACUCACCAGCGGUAUCACCCUUGUUUUGCUGACUGACGAUUUCCAUUAAACUCAGCGGGAUUGAGCAGUUCUGGAAACAAAUGCAGAGCACUCCAAAAUUGAGAUACCUCAAAUACGAGAGAAGCAUUGCCAAAGGAAAUGGAGAAGAAUUUGUUUAGAGAAAAAGCAGCUCUCUAACUACUCACAUAAUCAUGUGAAAGAAUAAAUGAAUAAAUGGGGUUAUCUGGUUAAAGGUGGCUGGAGGGAGGAUGAUGUGAGAAGCUGCAUGUACGGCGAUGUGUGCCUGGUGAGACGAAUUCUGCUGCCGCUGCUGCGAGGCAGGGAAGUAAGCAGCACAAGGCAAAGCAAACGAGUUGUAGUCUGGCUUCUCCUCCACUACAGAUGCCUUUUUGAAGAAAUACCACCAUGCUCUUUCAAUACUGUACCUGAUGAUAUUUAAAUUACUUUUACAUGAUUUUGUGCUUUUUUUUUUUUUUUUUCGCUUGGCAGACAAAAUGCUUUGACAAAACGCCAAGGCCCUAGGCCACACAGAUCCUUUUCACUGUGAAAGAUGUGCAAAAUAAAAGUGUAGUUAUCAUUCCUUUUUAAUUGAUCUGUACCUCUUCAUGGUCAUGUAUUUUGAGUGCAUCAUAGAAAGAUUUCAUAGUGUUCCACUUACUGCUGCAUCCUCUUCUUGGUGAAUAUGGAUAGCACCUGAUGCUCUCAUGCCUUUUCUCCUCUAUUGAAGUCUCUCUAAACUUUUCAGCAUGUGAGUAUGCAAAGCUAAUGAAGCUCUUCAGACCUAUCACAACUGUUAUGUGAGACUGUUACAACUUGGGGAACAGAGAUGUAAGUUAAAAAAUGACUUCCUUGGUAGCAAACUUACACCACUGGUUAUUCCGAGAGGCAGCUGAAAACUCCAGGUGUCUUGAUUCGUUAUCUGUACCUAAGAAAGAUUUGAGGGCAAGGUUCUGUGAAGUAAAAGAAAACUUUUGUCAUAGCCGUACUGCAUUGUUUAAAGCCUCUUAUUUUUCUCAUUUUAUUACAGCUUGACAAUUGUGAUUAGAAGCAAAUGUCUAAUUUGAGAAGGCCAAUUCAGAAAUACAAUUGCUAUCUGGCACUGUCUUCUGUUCUGUGUGAACCUACAUGACCACGAACAUCCCACUCCUUCAUCCUUGUGCAGCAUGGGAUCCAGAUGGAUGUUUCUGCCCAGUCUGUGAUUUUGUUUACAAAUGUUUCCACUCAGUAAAAAAAGAAAAAAAAAACAGGUUUGCAACAUACAGUAAAUUAAGUUAUUAAACGAAUAAAUGUAUUUCAGUAUUAUAUUUAAUGCAUGCCAAAAGACAGAGACCCUGAAUUUUCCUGUUAGAUUUUAAGUCCUUUUUAACCUUUCCUCUUUCUUGGUUUCAUUUGUCCUGGGAAUAGAGGCUUUGAUGCUGCUGUCUGAAAGACCCCCCCUUUUUUUCUCCAGCUGAAAUUAUUUCCAUGUUUCAUAUGGAAAAGGGCCCCCUUCUGCCUCACUGGUUUCAUGUGUGCAUUACAACAAAACAGUGCAGGAAGAUUACAGUUUUCAGACAAAAUGAGAACAUUUUUAAAGAACAGAGAUCCUUUCCAAACACUAAUAGGGUUCUUUGCCUGGGUCUGCGCUAACACAUUUUAACCAAAGGCAGUCCAGAACCUCACUAAAGCUCUCUGGAAGUCAGACAACACCGUAAUGCUUCAUACUUUUCUAAUGCUUUCCAUUGCAACUGCUUUACCAUCAUCAGCAAAUGCAUCUUCCAGAUCUUUCACAGAGUGUUGGUGGGUACUACUGGCUCCAACUGACAGAUGAAGCAACCAAAACGGUCUGCUCACCACCACCCCUGCCUCCAAACUCUCUUCGCGGCCCGUCUCUGUGCAGGCCAGUGUGCUGCUGGCUUCUCUGCAAGCAGACGUGGUGCCCACUGAGGGCACUGGAAACGCUCCAGCUGCCUGCGGCAAACGCUGGCUCAGCUCUCAGGAGACUUACCACGUGUACCUGGUGUAGGUUCCUGGAAUAAAACUUGUAACCCAACAUACCGGAUGCAGCAGACGUUUCCAGAUGUUUACUCCUUGGUAACAUGUAGUGUGCUUUUGACUAAACUUCAGACAGUAGCUCUCUAGUAGAUAUUCAGGAUGCUGCCUAAGGAAACGAGUGUAAUUUCUGCUGGAUACAGGUGAGAAUUUGGGCUUUCAUCAUUUCCAGAGUGCAUGUUUCAUCAUGCACUCCGGAAUAAUGAUUUUCUUUGUUGUCCAUGAAAAAAUUUCAAAAGCUAUUUCAGUAUUUCCUAUUCUUGAGACAAGCACAUCAAACAAAUCCUGCAUAAAAUGUAUAUUCUACGGUGAAGUGGUUCAGUUAACAAGUAAUAUCCACAAUUCAGAAAUACUAUGUUUUAAAACUGAAUGGUUUUAUCAGAUCUGCUGGAAAUAUUACGAGAUGUGCUAAAAUCUCUAGCAGCCCGUAUUUUGAGUGAAAUGACUUUGCAAACUUAAAAACGUAGCAGCAAAGCAAAACUAUCCUGAGCUGUGUUUCGUUACAACCAGAAUAAAACAUGUCUAUUUGAAAUCCCCAGAAUGAUUGAGAAAUAUGAUGGUUCCAUAUUUCCUAAUUUGCAAAUGGCACUAAAAAUAGUUGGAAAUACAUCAGGUAUUGCUCUGUAUGAACUGUUGUUACAAUUGCUGUAGGACUGUGAGCAGAUACCCACAAAACAGUCUCUUUACUGACUUACCUGACAUAACAUGAAUAAAAUUGAGAAUCAUUAUACUUCCUCUGUCAAUAUUACUGCCUGUACAGUAGCAAAAACCGUAGCAAAAUACACCUCGAUAGGAUGCAAAAUCCUAGCUUGAUAUAAAUUGACUUGAUUGGAGUCUUAGAUUGGUUAUCUUAGAUUGAAACCUAAGGAUUUGGCAUGUAAUACUAUGUAUUAUCAAGAGAGAGUGUUUUGUCUGAAAGGUUAAUUCUGACAGGUGCCGAAAACUUUCUAUUCCCAUUCAAGUUGCAGGAUGUUGGAUGAUGCACUUACUGUCUUGCAAGUGGCACAGUGUAGCAUCUUUUUUCUGCAAGGCAAAACAUAGGACAAGCAUGGAAGCAGAAAAUCAAAGGCUGGUUAAUGGGAAAGUGAUGAAGAAAUGGUUGUAUCUCACAGAGAAUGAGAGAAGUUUCACAGAAAAUGGCUGAAGAAAGGUCAAAUUUGUGGCUUCUUUUCUUUCUUGGACUGGACUCACCAGCUGCAGCUCUGCUGAGCCGUGCUGCGGGGCGAAGCAGCACCUUGUGUGCGCCUUUUCUAGCUAUGUUAAACCGAUGCCUGCAGAGCACCAGCAUUAUGCCUUUUGUGGCUCUUGCGCUACCGACAGCAAUGCAACCUGAGCUGUUUCAUUACCUCUGCUGAAUGCGGUCCUGGCCCUGCUGAAGUCGAUGGGGUUCUGCCUUUGACUUCCGUGAGAUCCGAAUUUCAGCCUUUGCCUCAGAUGAGUGCCAGGAAGUCCCCGGGGCCAGUGGCGAAGCCAAGGGACCUGGCCAGACGUGUCUGCAGGGCUGGCCUUGCUGGUAGUCCCGUCAGCUCUGCUUCUGCAAUGAGACAAGUAAGCCUGCGUCCUGUGGACAUCCAUGGUAGUUACAUGUACGUGUCUUCAAAAGUAGCAUUUGUUCAUAAACUGACUAUGAUAGAAGAUCAUACUCUUCUUAUGUAGGAUUAAUUAUUUGGGAUUAUCAAGGAUUAAUAUUCAGCAGCCGAAAGUCUAACUGUGGGGAAACAGAUCAAAGUACUCCAUCUCUUAGUCCUGUAUUGACCU